CAGACACGGCCUGGGGUCCAAGAGAAUGUAACCCGAAGUCCUAUGUGGGCAGAGAGUGUCUGAUCGCUCCGGAGGAGGAAAAGCCCUCACCCUCAGAGCUCUCUCUGGGUUGAACAGUGAAAGAUCAAUAGUAUCCAUAGAUCAGCACUCAGGAACCACAGAGGCUGCUCUAGCUGGUGACUUUGGGCAGCAACACCAAGGCUGCCCCCACAGAACCAAGAUUCUGGGAUGAGCACUAGGAACAAGCAGCUGGCCGUGUUGAAGAGGAGACUGCUGCCACCUUCUGUGUGCAGGACAGCCCCUUCAUCUAUUCAGGCGGGAGGCACUUUCCAAAUUCCAUCUAGGACAACGUGAUAUUCUGUGGCCCUGGUUUCUAUGAAGCAAGAAGUGGCUCACAUGAAGUACAUGGAAGAGCAAGAAACGGGAAGAAUUGGUGCUUAAUACCAACCCAGAGAGGCAGCCUAGUUCACGUCACAACGGGCCCCGAUCUGCUCUCUGAAAACAGUGGUGCCAGGAGUCUGAUCAUUUUACAGCUGAGAAACUUCGUCCUGAUGAAGCCUGGGGAGCAGGAUCUUCCAAAGCAGGCACAGGACGCAGGCUGUGCGUGCAGAGGGCGGCAGGGGCCUGGAGAACCCAGGGACGCGCAACAGCAUCCUCACAGCCGCACGGGGGCCCAGGUCAAACGGGGCCGCGUGGCGCGUCUCUCCUCCCCUGGACCGCUCACCCCAGCCCUGCCUCUCCCAACACCGAAGGACAGCUCGUGGGCGACAGGGUUUGCUUUCCCUGUGGACAGGAGAGUGUGCAAAGGAAGGCACCACAGCCAACCCCUCUUCAGACCCCCACCGAGGUGGCGGUGGGGGAGGCCUAGAAGCAGAGGCCAGGGCUGGCGAUGGAGGGGGCACGGGCCGAGGGCAGGCUGGUCCCCAGGGGGUGUGGGGGGUGACACCCAGGGAAGGAGGUCUGGGCUCAGUUCCCACAUGGCCCCAGAGCAGCCUGGGGGGAUCGGCCAGGGCAGCCCCUCCUCUGCUUUUGUUGGGCCAUCAGCCAAGUUUGUCUUUAGACUCGUCCCGGGCUGCCCCCGCUCUGGGCUCUCCCCUGACACAGCUGUCGCUUCUGCUCUCUGAGGACCCAGCCUACGGGUGCCAGCUUCCCUUCGCCUUUGUGGAAGAGUGGUGGUGGCUUUAAGGAGCCAGGUGGGGAGGCUACUUAGGCCAUGCCUCCUGCUCGCGGCCAUGGGCCUCCCCAUCCUGAUUCCAGGCCCCAGGACAGGCCGCCUCCUUUUCUUGAGCAUCCUGAAAUGCUGGGCCCUCCUCCCUGGGACAUUGCACUGCCGAUCCAUUAAGGGAUCAAGCAGAGAGCAGAGCCAGGAGUCAAACUCUACCGGCUCCUACACCUCGGGCCCUCUCUGAUAAAGAGUUCCUUGUGUGUUUCAGAUCUAAAUAGCUUCUUUCUUCCACCAUAAAAAAUGUGUGUUUAUUGUAGCGCUUCCAUCCCGCUUGUUUCUCUGGACAAUUCGAGGCAUGGUUUUCCGUUUCUGAUUUUUAAAGCGUGGUUGCAGCCCGACGGUACAUGUGACACCGUGUCCCUGCGUGUGUCUUAAAAUCCGCCCUGAAGCCGAGGUUACCUGUGGGAGUGGCACGGGGAGGGGGCGGUUUUGAUUCUCUGCUUUCUACCCUUCAUGUUGUUUAAUCUUUUCCCAAUACGCCAAUUAUUUUGUGAUGUCUAAACAGAACGGAACGAGGACAGCUCUGACUCAAGCCGGGGCAGCUGCCACGUGGGAUAUGCCCUCAGCCAGGACCCUGCACAGCAGGCCUUCUCUUCUGUUCCUAAAAAUAUGCUCACCUUCCCACUCCUGUGGUUGCAGUCCCUCUGCUGAGAGUAUUAAAUGGCAAUGUGUCCUUGGAGACCUGAUUCCUGAGGAGCAGCUGAGGGCUUCCCUCCCCCCAGCGUCCUGCCCCCAACACACACACAUACCCACAUGCACACACACAUGUACACACAUAGGCACACUCGUGCAUGUGUAUACACAUGCAGACAUACACACAUGCGCGCAUAUAACACAUAUGCACGUACAUACACACAUGUGCACAUGGAUGUACACUGCGCACAUAUGCACGUACAGGCGCACACUUCUUUUUCCCUCCUGUUUCAGAAGCAUGAUGCUAUCAGGCCCCAGAGCUGGCCAACAAAGGACUCGAUACAGACAGGACACUCAGAAAAACAGCAAAUCCAUUCGGCCUCCUGCUGACCGCCCGCCCCGCCUGGCUGGAGGCAGUCCCCGGUUACAAGGGAAGGGGCCGAGGUCCCUGCGGGGUGGACACAUGCGUUCCUGCAGAACGUGGCUGGCUGAUGAGCUCUGCAGAGACGGAAAGGUUCUCAGGAACAGGAGAUGCCUGGGCUGAGUCCUAAAGGACCAGCUGGGCCACCAGAGAACAGGAGAAAGGCCAUCCCCAUGAAGGAACUGUGAAACCAUGACGAGGUCCUACACAUCACCGGCCUGUCCUGAACAUUUCACGUGUAUCCCACCGGCUCUCACAAGCCUGGGGGGCAAGGGCGCCCGUGGUCCCUCCUAGGGCUGAGGUCCCUGAGGCGUGGAGGGGAAAAGUGGUUUCCCAGGGCCAUGCGGGUCAUGAGUGGGGGAGCCAGGAUUUGAACUGAGGCACUGGCUCCAGAUCCCUGGCUUCUGACGCCUCGAUUGUCCUGCAGUUUGGCUGACUCGGGAAGAGGGGCGACUGGAGCACAGCGCUGUAGGAGCUGGGGCGGGAAGCGGGGCAGACACCGCAUGAUGCUAAAGAGCCUGCUUUUAUCCUGAAGACCGUGAGGGGAUGAAGUCAGAGGAACACCCUGAUCAGAUGGGUUUCCCACAGAUCUGUGCUUCUGCGGGAAGGCUUGGUGAGGCCAGGCGAGGGGAGCCUGGUGGCUGCUGUACAAUCCAACGAAGAAAUGAGGCAGACAAGCGGGGUGGAGGGGGGGAGCAAUCUGAGCUCCACCGAGGAGACGAGGCUGGGGGGGAGGACAGAGUGUGGAGAGAGGAGGCCUGUACUGGUACCCAGCUCAGGUGACAGGGGUGUUCCGCUCAGGUGUGCUGGGAACACUGCAACAAGAGCAGGUGUGGAAGAAAGGGGAGGGGUCCAUUCAGGGCUUCUGGGGGUCUAUAAUGAGGUCGGAGGAACAGAGAAGAGAUCAUGUAAAGCAGGUAUCUUAACCCGGAUAGAACUCAAGAGUCUGUAAUUUGUAUGGGGAAAACAUUACAUCUUUAUUUUCACUUUUCUCAUACUAAAAUCUAUCACAUUGUUCUAUUAUUAAUGUAAGAAAAUUGCUGUAGUAACCUUAGCAAUAUCUAGGGCUUUGUCACCCACAGAAGUCACAGAUUUUGCACUGCUGUCUCAGUUGUUGCAGAGGCCUCUGUGUAUCCUUUAUGCCAGCAUGACUUUAGCAUGAUGGUGAGUAGACCUGACUGUGGAUCUGAGUACCUGAGACUGUAGCCGUGCGUUAUUACGUGUAUUCCUGUGUCAAAGGUCUUGACAAUUUUGGAAACUGUAUUUCCAAAAAAUGACUUCCUUUGUAAUCCUUUGUAUUUUGUUUUAU